rnacentral:rRNA from 1 species
UACGUAGGGCGCAAGCGUUGUCCGGAAUUAUUGGGCGUAAAGAGCUCGUAAGCGGUUUGUCGCGUCUGUCGUGAAAGCUUGGGGCUUAACCCCAAGUCUGCGGUGGAUACGGGCAGACUAGAGGCAGGUAGGGGAGAACGGAAUUCCCGGUGUAGCGGUGAAAUGCGCAGAUAUCAGGAGGAACACCGGUGGCGAAAGCGGCUUCCUGGCCCGACAUUGACGCUCAUGUACGAAAGCGUGGGGAGCAAACAGG